AUGUCUUAUCAUCUAAUAAUUAAUAGUUAAUUGAGAUGGUAAGGUAAAAUUAAAAUUUUAUUUUUGUUGUCAGAUGUGAGUGUGAAAUA
rnacentral:sRNA from 1 species